ACACUCUCAGGAUUACACCUGGAGAGUUUCCAGUCCUCUACCAGUCUCAGCUGCGGGAGGGAGAGUGAAGCAGAGUCCAGUCCAUUCCAUUCCUAGCUUGGGCAGUGGCUAGUGAGUGGAAAGCCAUCUGCUACAAGU